UACGUAGGGGGCAAGCGUUGUCCGGAAUCAUUGGGCGUAAAGCGCGUGUAGGCGGUUCGGUAAGUCGGCUGUGAAAGUCCAGGGCUCAACCCUGGGAUGCCGGUCGAUACUGCCGGACUAGAGUUCGGAAGAGGCGAGUGGAAUUCCCGGUGUAGCGGUGAAAUGCGCAGAUAUCGGGAGGAACACCGAUUGCGAAGGCAGCUCGCUGGGACGUUACUGACGCUGAGACGCGAAAGCGUGGGGAGCAAACGGG
rnacentral:rRNA from 1 species